AUAAGCCGAGAGGAAGGUGGGGAUGACGUCAAGUCCUCAUGGCCCUUACGGGCUGGGCUACACACGUGCUACAAUGGUGGUGACAGUGGGCAGCGAGACCGCGAGGUCGAGCUAAUCUCCAAAAGCCAUCUCAGUUCGGAUUGCACUCUGCAACUCGAGUGCAUGAAGUUGGAAUCGCUAGUAAUCGCAGAUCAGCAUGCUGCGGUGAAUACGUUCCCGGGCCUUGUACACACCGCCCGUCACACCAUGGGAGUUGGUUUUACCCGAAGGCCCUGCUCCAAGGCGCAAGGGAAGCAGGCGACCACGGUAGGGUCAGCGACUGGGUGAAGUCGUAACA
rnacentral:rRNA from 1 species